ensembl:lncRNA novel transcript
ACGCAACGAUGAGGGCGCAGGCUCGCGGGCCAAGGAUGCUGACGCAGGCCUGAGUCCGGAAAAGACCCGCACAUCUGGGGCCCAAGUGGCCCAUUUCCCCAGAGGCGAGCAAGGACUCUCAGGAAUCGUCAUCCUUCCCAUGAAAUCCUGGAAACUGCUUAACUCCUUUAAGGAUCUUUCCAAAGGUCUUCAAUUUUGAUAUAAGCAACAAAGAAUAAGAGGGCUAUUAGAUCAGAAAUAUUCCAUGAAGAAGGGAGCAAAGAUUCAUGUCACUGACAACUGGAGAAGAAACAGAGAAAGGGUACUCAUGAUGUGUGACAAAUGGCAUGCCUCCUGCAAGAGUUAUGAGUUAUGUGCCUAAACAGGAAGGAUCAUCUCAUUGCAGAAUUAGGGCAUCAUCCAGUGGGAAGGGAGUUUCAAGGUCAUUUAGUCCAGCCUCCGAGUGAUACAGAAAUUCUCUUUGCAGCAUCCCUAUCACGUGGCCAUCAAACUUCUACUAGUGUAUUCAUCCACACCUGGUCUGUCUAAAACCUUGAGAACAGCCCCUUGUAUAGUUCAAUAGCCCCAGCUGAAGGAAAAGUUUUUGUUAUUUUCAGUAAACAUAUUCUGUUGUGUAACUUUGGUUGAUCGGUUCCCCUUUAGCGACCCAGAAAACACUGAGCUCCCUCUGACACCCAUGCCCUUUGACUGAAAGUCAGCCAUAAAAUAGAGCACCAGAGUAACUUUCCAGAGUCCCAGAUUUGCCCCUUCGCUCCACUGCAAAUCAAAUGUGUGACCUGUGUUUCAAUUCAAUUAGCCUUUUCCUAAG